AUUGAACGCUGGCGGCAUGCCUUACACAUGCAAGUCGAACAGUAACGCGGGGCAACCUGGCGACGAGUGGCGAACGGGUGAGUAACGCAUCGGAACGUGCCCAGUAGUGGGGGAUAGCCCGGCGAAAGCCGGAUUAAUACCGCAUACGACCUAUGGGUGAAAGGGGGGGAUCGCAAGACCUCUCGCUAUUGGAGCGGCCGAUGUCAGAUUAGGUAGUUGGUGGGGUAAAGGCCUACCAAGCCGACGAUCUGUAGCUGGUCUGAGAGGACGACCAGCCACACUGGGACGGAGACACGGCCCAGACUCCUACGGGAGGCAGCAGUGGGGAAUUUUGGACAAUGGGCGCAAGCCUGAUCCAGCCAUGCCGCGUGCGGGAAGAAGGCCUUCGGGUUGUAAACCGCUUUUGUCAGGGAAGAAAUCCUUUGGGUUAAUACCUCGGGGGGAUGACGGUACCUGAAGAAUAAGCACCGGCUAACUACGUGCCAGCCGCCGCGGUAAAAC
rnacentral:rRNA from 1 species